GCUUCUUUAGCUCAGUUGGUAGAGCGCAUCCUUGGUAAGGAUGAGGUCACCAGUUCAACUCUGGUAAGAAGCUCCA
rnacentral:tRNA from 1 species